GCACUGCUGAUGAGUCCCACAAUAGGACGAAACGGCCGUCCGGUGC
rnacentral:hammerhead_ribozyme from 1 species